rnacentral:rRNA from 1 species
CCUCCGGGUGGCUGCAGUGGGGAAUAUUGGACAAUGGGGGGAACCCUGAUCCAGCCAUGCCGCGUGUGUGAAGAAGGCCCUCGGGUUGUAAAGCACUUUCAGUGAGGAAGAACGCCUGGUGGUUAAUACCCAUCAGGAAAGACAUCACUCACAGAAGAAGCACCGGCUAACUCCGUGCCAGCAGCCGCGGUAAUACGGAGGGUGCGAGCGUUAAUCGGAAUUACUGGGCGUAAAGCGCGCGUAGGUGGCUUGAUAAGCCGGUUGUGAAAGCCCCGGGCUCAACCUGGGAACGGCAUCCGGAACUGUCAAGCUAGAGUGCAGGAGAGGAAGGUAGAAUUCCCGGUGUAGCGGUGAAAUGCGUAGAGAUCGGGAGGAAUACCAGUGGCGAAGGCGGCCUUCUGGACUGACACUGACACUGAGGUGCGAAAGCGUGGGUAGCAAACAGGAUUAGAUACCCUUGUAGUC